AAUACCGCAUACGUCCUACGGGAGAAAGCAGGGGACCUUCGGGCCUUGCGCUAUCAGAUGAGCCUAGGUCGGAUUAGCUAGUUGGUGAGGUAAUGGCUCACCAAGGCUACGAUCCGUAACUGGUCUGAGAGGAUGAUCAGUCACACUGGAACUGAGACACGGUCCAGACUCCUACGGGAGGCAGCAGUGGGGAAUAUUGGACAAUGGGCGAAAGCCUGAUCCAGCCAAGGCGCGUGUGUGAAGAAGGUCUUCGGA
rnacentral:rRNA from 1 species